UUCAAAUGAGGAAAGGCUCACGGUGGAUACCUAGGCACCCAGAUACGAGGAAGGGCGUAGCAAGCGACGAAAUGCUUCGGGGAGUUGAAAAUAAGAAUAGAUCGAGAUCCGUAGAUUCCCCAAUAGGUUAACCUCUAGAAUUACUGCCAACACACGGUCAGUCGAUGGACAACCUGUCGAACUGAAACAUCUUAGUAGACAGAGGAAAAUAAAGCAAAAGCGAUUUCCAUAGUAGCGGCGAGCGAAACGGGAACAGCCUAAACCAUUUAGGGGUUGUGGGGGAGCAAUCCACGCGAGCGCGUGCUGCUAGGCGAAGUGGUAGAAUACCACACCCUAGAUGGUGAGAGUCCAGUAGCCGAAAGCAUUACUAGCUACUGCGCUCUGACCCGAGUAGCAUGGGACACGUGGAAUCUCGUGUGAAUCAGCAAGGACCACCUUGUAAGGCUAAAUAUUCCUGGGGGACCGAUGGCGAAGUAGUACCGUGAGGGAAAGGUGAAAAGAACCCACACUGUGGAGUGAAAUAGAUCAUGAAAUCGUGAGCUACCAAGCAGUGGGAGAAUGAAAUCUUUGACCGCGUGCCUGUUGAAGAAUGAGCCGGCGACUCGUGGGCAGUGGCUUGGUUAAGGGAACCCCCCGUAGCCAUAGCGAAAGCGAGUCCUCAUAGGACGAUUGUCGCUGCUUAUGGACCCGAACCUGGGUGAUCUAUCCAUAACCAGGGUGAAGCUUUGGUGAAACUAAGUGGAGGCCCGAACCGGCUGAUGUUGAAGAAUCCGCGGAUGAGUUGUGGUUAGGGGUGAAAUGCCACUCGAACCCAGAGCUAACUGGUUCUCUUCGAAAUGCGUUGAGGCGCAGCGGUUGACUGGGCAUUAUAGGGGUAAAGCACUCUUUCGGCGCGGGACGAGAUAUCGGUACCAAGUCGAGACAAACUAUGAAUACUAGGUAUGACCCCGUAGGGGAAUCCGCGUCGACCAGUGAGACGAUGGGGGAUAAGCUUCAUCGUCGAGAGGGAAACAGCCCGGAUCACCAGCUAAGGUCCCUAAAUGACCGCUCAGUGAAAAAGGAGGUAUGGUCGCAUAGACAGACAGGAGGUUCGCCUAGAAGCAGCCACCCUUUAAAGAGUGCGUAAUAGCUCACUUAUCGAGCGUCCUUGCGCCGAAGAUGAAGGGGGCUAAGCGAUCUGCCGAAGCUGUGGGAUGUCAAAAAGCACAUCGGUAGGGGGGCGUUCCGCCUUCGAGGGAAGCUACCGCGUAAGCGAGUGUGGACGAAGCGGAAGCGAGAAUGUCGGCUUGAGUAACGCAAACAUUGGUGAGAAUCCAAUGCCCCGAAAAUCGAAGGGUUUCUCCGCAAGGUUCGUCCACGGAGGAUUAGUCAGGGCCUAAGAUCAAGCCGGAAGGCAUCGUCGAUGGGCAACAGGUAAAUAUUCCUGCACUACCUCUUGUUUUGUCGGUCGCGAGGGACGGAGGAGGCUAGGUUAUCCGAAAGAUGGUUAUUCGGUUCAAGGGCACGGGGCUAGCCCUCCGCGUCCCUGUGGGGGAAAAAUGCCUCGAGCCAAAUGCCCGAGCACCAGGUGCUUAGCGCCUAAGUAACAUACGGCGUACUCCCAGGAAAAGCUCGAACGACCCUUUAUAAAUAACAAAUUUAAAAGAGUACCUGUACCCGAAACCGACACAGGCAGAUAGGUAGAGAAUACCUAGGGGUGCGAGACAACUCUCUCUAAGGAACUCGGCAAAAUAGCCCUGUAACCUCGGGAAAAGGGGUGCCUCUUAUCAAAGGAGGUCGCAGCGACCAGGCCCAGGCGACUGUUUACCAAAAACACAGGUCUCCGCAAAGUCGUAAGACAAUGUAUGGGGGCUGACGCCUGCCCAGUGCCGGAAGGUCAAAGAAAUCGGUGACCUGAUUACAGGGUAGCUGACAACCGAAGCCCCGGUGAACGGCGGCCGUAACUAUGACGGUCCUAAGGUAGCGAAAUUCCUUGUCGGGUAAAUUCCGACCCGCACGAAAGGCGUAACGAUCUGGGCACUGUCUCGGGGGGAGACUCGGUGAAAUAGACAUGUCUGUGAAGAUGCGGACUACCCACACCUGGACAGAAAGACCCUACGAAGCUUUACUGUUACCUGGGGUUGUCUUUGGGAUUUUCCCGCGCAGUUUAGGUGGAGGGCGAAGAGGGCCACGGCCCGAGCCAUCAGUGAGAUACCACUCGGGAAGAACUAUAAUUCUAACCUUGUACCGUGACCCACAACCCAUAGGACGAGGAACAUUCUCUGGUAGACAGUUUAUAUGGGGCGUAGGCCUCCAAAAGGGUAACGGAGGCGCGCAAAGGUUUUCUCGGGCCAGACGGGGAUUGGUCCUCGAGUGUAAAGGCAGAAGGGAGCUUGACUGCAAGACCUACCCGUCGAGCAGGGACUAAAGUCGGCCUUAGUGAUCCGACUGUUCCAAGUGGCAGGGCAGUCGCUCAACGGAUAAAAGUUACUCUAGGGAUAACAGGCUGAUCUUCCCCAAGAGUUCACAUCGACGGGAGGGUUUGGCACCUCGAUGUCGGCUCCUCGCUACCUGGGGCUGUAGGAUGUCCCAAGGGUCGGGCUGUUCGCCCAUUAAAGCGGUACGUGAGCUGGGUUCAGAACGUCGUGAGACAGUUCGGUCCAUAUCCGGUGUGGGCGUUAGAGCAUUGAGAGGGCCUUCCCUAGUACGAGAGGACCGGUAAGGAUACACCCCUGGUGUACCAGUUAUCGUGCCCGCGGUAAACGCUGGGUAGCCAAGUGUAGAGUGGAUAACUGCUGAAAGCAUCUAAGUAGUAAGCCCACCACAAGAUGAGUGCUCUCCU
rnacentral:rRNA from 1 species